AUCCUGGCUCAGAUUGAACGCUGGCGGCAGGCCUAACACAUGCAAGUCGAACGGUAGCACAGAGGAGCUUGCUCCUUGGGUGACGAGUGGCGGACGGGUGAGUAAUGUCUGGGAAACUGCCYGAUGGAGGGGGAUAACUACUGGAAACGGUAGCUAAUACCGCAUAACGUCGCAAGACCAAAGAGGGGGACCUUCGGGCCUCUUGCCAUCGGAUGUGCCCAGAUGGGAUUAGCUAGUAGGUGGGGUAACGGCUCACCUAGGCGACGAUCCCUAGCUGGUCUGAGAGGAUGACCAGCCACACUGGAACUGAGACACGGUCCAGACUCCUACGGGAGGCAGCAGUGGGGAAUAUUGCACAAUGGGCGCAAGCCUGAUGCAGCCAUGCCGCGUGUAUGAAGAAGGCCUUCGGGUUGUAAAGUACUUUCAGCGAGGAGGAAGGYGUUGUGGUUAAUAACCGCAGCRAU
rnacentral:rRNA from 1 species